CUGUAUUGAUCUGCUAUUUAAUAAGUCACUCAGAGGUGAGCAUGCACAGUGUAUUCCUGAAGUAUAGACUUUCAAGACAAAAGCAUAUUGAGAAGUUCUGGACUAGUGGAUUCGACUUGGGCCUGACUCUGACUUGUUGUGAGACUGUGGGCACCAGGAGAAAUCGCUUGAAUAGUGAAUAGGUUUUUCUUUGGUGCUGGUGUGUAUGUGCUGAAGAAUUUACUGAGAGAAAAUGAAGUCAAAGAGCUGAGUAGGAUGCAAAGAGGCAGACACUGCAACACUUCUCAAGCAUGUAAUCCCAUUGAAAUCAAUGGGGCUACGCGGAUGAAUAGAGAUCAAAACAGGGCUCAGAUAAUUGCACCAGGGUCUCAGACGUUUGAGGGUUAUCCCAACAGAGUGCACCCACCAGGCCUUUGGAGGAAACUGAGAUAAUCCAGCAAGUUUGCAGGCCAAAUGGCUUUCUGAAUAUGAGCCCACAAAGCAUUGAAUCAGAUGGUGUAUUGCUCCGGGAGAUUCCAGCACAGUUCAGCCACAAGGUGAAUAUCCAUAACAGC